rnacentral:rRNA from 1 species
GACGAACGCUGGCGGCGCGCUUAACACAUGCAAGUCGAGCGAGAACCAGACCUUCGGGUCUGGGACGAGCGGCGAACGGGUGAGUAACACGUGGGUAAUCUGCCCUCGAUUCUGGGAUAGCCCGGGGAAACCCGGAUUAAUACCGGAUAGCCUCUUGAGCUCUCGGGCUCUCGAGAAAAGGUAGCUUCGGCCUCCGAUCGAGGAUGAGCCCGCGGUGGAUUAGCUUGUUGGUGGGGUAAUGGCCACCAAGGCGACGAUCCGUAGCUGGUCUGAGAGGACGAUCAGCCACACUGGGACUGAGACACGGCCCAGACUCCUACGGGAGGCAGCAGUGGGGAAUCUUGCGCAAUGGGCGAAAGCCUGACGCAGCGACGCCGCGUGAGGGAUGACGGCCUGG